rnacentral:lncRNA from 1 species
AUCGGGAAGCCAGCGAGCACACUGGAAGGCUGAGUGGUGGCAGUGGUGGUGAUGGGGUGUUGGGCUCAGCCAUCAGAGGUUGGGGUGGUGGAAGGUACAGGAGAUGGGGUGUAGGAGAGAGAGGAAGAGAGUCAUCUAUCAACACCUCAUUGUCGUCUGAAUCCAUCAGGGCAGGCAGGUCACUGACAUCUACACCUUUUAUGUCUGCCUGCCUCCAUGUCCAAGGUCAAGGUUCAUCAUCUGCUGUGGUUGAUGUGGCUGAUGCAAAAGCUUGAAAUAUGACGGUAUGCUUGACUGCUUAACCUUAUAACGCUUUGAUACAAAACAAACGCUGAACGCUAUUUUCGCUUUUCUCCUUUUUCUGUAAAAGCAAAAAUCCUCUUCGAAUUUCUUUCAUUUAGCAAAAACAGGCACUAAUGUAGGUCUCUAGUAAAAGCAAAGUGGCGUAAAGUGAACUUUCAGACAGCAGGGGAAACCUGUAUUUAACUACCUUCUCUCAGCCCCUACAUCCCACACAUUCUCCUCCAUAAAAUCAGCUAGAAUUCUCCGCGUGGGAAGGAAGGGAGAUGGGGAGGAAGAGAGACUCGCACCUGAGAAGCCAUAUCAGAAUAUCAAUAGCACGUGUGGCAGUUUCCCAUCAUGUGAUUCUGAUCAAGCAUCCCCGCCACGGGUUGACUCCCAGCCUCCUGCUGAGAGUGUCCCUGUCACAGAGGUUUAUUCCAGUGGAGGAUUUGGACAUUCAGAGAUUUAGCUGAAAUGCAUGUGAAUAGAUUACUACUAAGAGAUUUACCUUGAAAUAUUUUGAGAGUAACUCUCCUGAGAUGCUGAAAACACUUCAACCUCGACAUUUCGGUAAAAAGAGCCUCUAGGUCCAUUGGUUCAACAUCAGGUUCUGCUGCUAUGAUCGACUUGCUGGCUCAACUCUGCAUUAUUGCCACUCUGGGACCCUGAGCUUCACAGACUCCUUCCUGAUCGCUGAGCAAUCUCACAGAUGUGGCCCAGCGUCCAAGAUGACAUUUGGACUGCUGAAGCUGACGAGGACAAAAAGAGAAACGAGGGUGGGGAAGAGAGAGAGAGGCAAGAAGAUUUUGGAGCAGACAAAUGACAAAAUAUAAGGCGUUCUUCAGUAAAAUUCACAUGGCAACAGCCUGUAGAUGGACAGGAGUGGGAAGACAUGAACUGAGGAAGCAAGUGAGAAGACGUGGUCUAAGUGAGGUGACUCAUCAUGAAGUCUAGCCGACAGACCAUUUUGAGAAGGUCAGCAAGCUCUGACUCAGCCCAUCCUCCUGGGCGCAUACUUAGAAUCAGCAGGUUCUUCUGCCCAAACCUGUUUUAUACAGAACAAUAACUUCAGCUGUGUAACUACAAAGAUCUUCACUAUCUAAAGGCCGUAGG